CCAGCUGUGUGGAACUAAAUUAUAUGUUCAUUCCAAGGAGUUAAGUCUCAACUGACCAUGGAAAGAAUAUGGCAGAUAUAACAGCACGUAAUUUCCAAGGCAAGGUCAUAAAAGACAUUGUAGCUUCUGCCUUGUCCCUUCCUCUUGGAUCUCUUGCUAUGGAGUAGCAGCCCCAUGAAGACACCCGUGGUGGAAGAUCACUGAGGACUCCUGCCAACAGCCACCCAGUGACUGAGGCCUCUUGCAGAAAUCCAUAUGAGUGGGCCAGCUGACAAGAAAAUCUUCCAGCUCUAGUCAAGCCUUCAGGUGAGCAAUGAGACUUAUGGAAACAAAUCUGCCUAAUGCCAUUUAGCUAGUAAACACAAAGAGAAGUCCAGAACCUAGCCCUCUUUGACCUCUCUGUCCACACUCUCAGCUACUAGAGGAUGGAGACUGGCAGGAGAAAAGCAGAAGGUUCUGGAGUCCAGAACACCAGCUCUUAGUGCCAGGAACUGCCAGGUAAGAAUUCUGACUACACUGAGGCCACCAUGCUCUGAGGAAGUCAAGCCAGAUGGAAAGAUCACAGCAGGAGAACUGGUCAGCAGUCAUACUCUUGAACUCAUCCCAACCCAGACUCCAGACAUGUGAAUUGACAAGUCUUCAGAUGAUUCCAGCACAAAGCCAUUGAGUCACCUCCAGCCAUUGAGUGUCCCCAGCCGAGACACCAGUCACCAUCAAGCAGAGCCAGUAUGCCUGUUAUGCCUGUCCAAAUUCUUGACCCACUAAAUUCUAUGAAAUUAAUAAAUGGUUGUUUAAGUUACUAAAUUUUAAACUUAAUUUGUUAUGCAGUAAUAGGAAUUGUUCCUGUCUGUGAGCAAGUCCUCAUGGACAAUAAACUCAGAUCUGUCUGUGGAAUCUGGGAGAAAAAGAGACUGUUAUCCUUCCCCAUGGUACAGCCCCAGAAAGAUAAAAGUCUCAGAA
rnacentral:lncRNA from 1 species